rnacentral:tRNA from 1 species
UCCCUGGUGGCUCAGAUGGUAAAGCGUCUGCCUACGAAGCAGGAGACCCGGGUUUGAUCCCUGGGUUGGGAA